CUGGCUUAGGAUGAACGCUGGCGGCGUGCUUAACACAUAGCAAGUCGAACGGAGUAUAUUAAAAGACUUGCUUUGUAUAUACUAGUGGCGGACGGGUGAGUAACGCGUGGGCAACCUGCCUUAUACCGGGGGACAACAGCUGGAAACGGCUGCUAAUACCGCAUAAGCGCACGAAGAGGCAUCUCUUAGUGUGAAAAAACUCCGGUGGUAUAAGAUGGACCCGCGUCUGAUUAGCCAGUUGGCGGUGUAACGGACCACCAAAGCGACGAUCAGUAGCCGGCCUGAGAGGGCAAACGGCCACAUUGGGACUGAGACACGGCCCAAACUCCUACGGGAGGCAGCAGUGGGGAAUAUUGCACAAUGGGGGGAACCCUGAUGCAGCCGACGCCGCGUGAGUGAAGAAGUAUUUCGGUAUGUAAAGCUCUAUCAGCAGGAAAGAAAAUGACGGUACCUGACUAAGAAGCCCCGGCUAACUACGUGCCAGCAGCAGC
rnacentral:rRNA from 1 species